rnacentral:rRNA from 1 species
CCUACGGGAGGCAGCAGUGGGGAAUCUUGCACAAUGGAGGAAACUCUGAUGCAGCGAUGCCGCGUGAGUGAAGAAGGCCUUUGGGUUGUAAAGCUCUUUUGUAGGGGAAGAUAAUGACUGUACCCUAAGAAUAAGGUCCGGCUAACUUCGUGCCAGCAGCCGCGGUAAUACGAAGGGACCUAGCGUAGUUCGGAAUUACUGGGCGUAAAGCGCGCGUAGGCCGUUGAGUUAGUUAAUUGUGAAAUCCCAAAGCUUAACUUUGGAACUGCAAUUAAAACUGCUCGACUAGAGUUUGAUAGAGGAAAGCGGAAUACAUAGUGUAGAGGUGAAAUUCGUAGAUAUUAUGUAGAACACCAGUUGCGAAGGCGGCUUUCUGGAUCAACACUGACGUUGAGGCGCGAAAGUAUGGGUAGCAAAGAGGAUUAGAUACCCUCGUAGUCCAUACCAUAAACGAUGAUUGCUAGAUGUUGGAAAUUUAUUUUACUAGUAUACGUCAGACUAACGACAUUAAGUACAAUACCGUCCGUCGGGGUAGGGUACGGACCGGACCGAACGGUUAAAACGUUUAAAACGGUAAAGUUAGUACGGCGUGAGACGUGCCGACGGACGACGACGAGGGGAGUAGG